rnacentral:ribozyme from 1 species
UUAACCUCACUUGUUCGGUAAAGGGUUGGAUCCGACGCCUCUGGAAGGCUACUAUAUAUAGGCCUAUAGGCUCUCCUUCCCAACUCCUACUCAAUACGUCCGCGACGUUCAGAACGGUCACUUGUCGCCUAGAUAUCCUGGCUUGGGUAUAUGGAGCGAUCCAACCUCUUGGGCGGAUGAGCGACAAGGCUGAAUUGAGAGGU